rnacentral:rRNA from 1 species
AUUGAACGCUGGCGGCAUGCCUUACACAUGCAAGUCGAACGGUAACAGGCCGCAAGGUGCUGACGAGUGGCGAACGGGUGAGUAAUACAUCGGAACGUGCCCAGUCGUGGGGGAUAACUGCCCGAAAGAGCAGCUAAUACCGCAUACGACCUGAGGGUGAAAGCGGGGGACCGUAAGGCCUCGCGCGAUUGGAGCGGCCGAUGUCAGAUUAGCUAGUUGGUGGGGUAAAGGCCUACCAAGGCAACGAUCUGUAGUUGGUCUGAGAGGACGACCAGCCACACUGGGACUGAGACACGGCCCAGACUCCUACGGGAGGCAGCAGUGGGGAAUUUUGGACAAUGGGCGCAAGCCUGAUCCAGCAAUGCCGCGUGCAGGAAGAAGGCCUUCGGGUUGUAAACUGCUUUUGUCAGGGAAGAAAUCUUCUGGGCUAAUACCCCGGGAGGAUGACGGUACCUGAAGAAUAAGCACCGGCUAACUACGUGCCAGCCGCCGCCGUAAUAC